rnacentral:rRNA from 1 species
GACGAACGCUGGCGGCGUGCUUAACACAUGCAAGUCGAACGGAAAGGCCCUGCUUUUGUGGGGUGCUCGAGUGGGGAACGGGUGAGUAACACGUGAGUAACCUGCCCUUGACUUUGGGAUAACUUCAGGAAACUGGGGCUAAUACCGGAUAGGAGCUCCUGCUGCAUGGUGGGGGUUGGAAAGUUUCGGCGGUUGGGGAUGGACUCGCGGCUUAUCAGCUUGUUGGUGGGGUAGUGGCUUACCAAGGCUUUGACGGGUAGCCGGCCUGAGAGGGUGGCCGGCCACAUUGGGACUGAGAUACGGCCCAGACUCCUACGGGAGGCAGCAGUGGGGAAUAUUGCACAAUGGGCGGAAGCCUGAUGCAGCAACGCCGCGUGCGGGAUGACGGCCUUCGGGUUGUAAACCGCUUUCGCCUGUGACGAAGCGUGAGUGACGGUAAUGGGUAAAGAAGCACCGGCUAACUACGUG